rnacentral:rRNA from 1 species
CCUACGGGGGGCAGCAGUGAGGAAUAUUGGUCAAUGGACGAGAGUCUGAACCAGCCAAGUAGCGUGAAGGAUGACUGCCCUAUGGUUUGUAAACUUCUUUUAUAAAGGAAUAAAACGAGGCACGUGUGCCUUUUUGCAUGUACUUUAUGAAUAAGGAUCGGCUAACUCCGUGCCAGCAGCCGCGGUAAUACGGAGGAUGCGAGCGUUAUCCGGAUUUAUUGGGUUUAAAGGGUGCGUAGGCGGACAGUCAAGUCCGCGGUAAAACUGCGGUGCUCAACGCCGUACAGCCGUUGAAACUGGCAGGAGUGAGUGGGAGAGAAGUAUGCGGAAUGCGUGGUGUAGCGUUGAAAUGCAUAGAUAUCACGCAGAACUCCGAUUGCGAAGGCAGCAUACCGGCGCCCGACUGACGCUGAGGCACGAAAGCGUGGGUAUCGAACAGGAUUAGAUACCCUGGUAGUC